CGCGGGGUAGUUCAGUGGCCGAACACCGGUUUCAUAAUCCGGCCGACGUGAGUUCAAUUCUCACCCCCGCAACCA
rnacentral:tRNA from 1 species